CGGAGUAUUGCUCUAGUGGCGAUUUAAGGAGACUGCAUAGUGGCUAGGGCAGGGCAGAAAGUGCUAUUCCAGAGAGCAUGUUUUCCUCUGCAGAUCUAUUCAGGUAGGUGGGCUUUUUGGGCCUGAUUCACCAUUGCCCUGCAUUGCAUAUAGUCACUUACAUUACACCAUUGCAGAGUGAAUAUAAGAAAGUACCAUGCUGAUCUGGCGAUUUUUGACACCCACUCUACAUUUGCUUUGCACUACUGUACAUUCCGUGACUACAAGGUUACAGGGAAUCAGGCCCUUUAUGUGGGAGAAGACAAGAGGGUGAGAGGUUUUACUGCUUAUAAAAGUAAGAGAAUAACACUGUAACAGUACUUCACAUCUGACCUGGGAUCUCUCUGCUGUUCUACAUUUGGGUUUCUGCGUAGCAAUAAACUGCUAAUAUGGUCAAAUUGUGGUCGUUUUGUGGUGAAGACAAAGACGCAUUAGUGGCUGUAUUAAAACCGAUGUACUCACUUCUCUUGUAACCCAAAACAGAUUUGAACAGAGGUGAAAAACUGCUGUGACAAUCGGUAAUGUGCCAUGGCUUCUGGGAGAUGCUUAGUCAAGAAAGGAAGUGUGGUAUUUCCAUUAAAGAAUCAGUCUUGAAUAUAAAUGUUCCUUAAAUGGAUUUCUAAUUCUGAUGUAUACAAAAAUCACCACAGGGGGCUAGAUAAACAACACUCCUCUACCCACAGUACUAGAUACAUUGUCCAGAUAUGUAAGUAUAACCCUUUCUAAUAGGGUUAGAGAUACCAGUUUAGUAUAAUUUUACUGGACUUUACAUACAAGAACUGCGAUGGCUAAGAGAGGGAUAAAGUAGGACAGUCUUCUUUUCAUUAGAAUCAAUAAGCUGUAAAGUAUUAUUUUAAUCAGUUCAGGAACUCCUCUGGGGAGCUAUAAUUAAUAAUGUUAUAUAAGCUAAGAAAAUGUUUGUGCAACCUGAAUACUUCCAGCUUCUUUUAUUAGUCCUCUUAAUGAGCCAUCAGAUUCUUGGCAAAGCAUACAUAGCAAAUACUAAAUUAAUCUUUUUCUGACAACUAACUAACACAAACCAGUUUCCAAUACAUAAGUAUUAAUGAGAAGUUUAGUUACAAUAAUUUAGCCCUACGCAGCUGCAAAAUAAGACAAGCAAAACAUGAAUGAAACUCAGUGGAAUCUGUUCUUAUUCCUAAUUAGGUCCUUCUCUGAAUCCAGUAGAGUGAAGUUACAAAAGUGAUGUACCAUUGCUAAAGCCAUUUAUUUGUCAAGGUUUGGAAAAUGGCAACAAAAUCCAUGCCAUCCUGAAGUAUACAAGUUAUAGGGGAAAUGACAAAUCAAUAAAUACAGGUUUUAAAGUCUCUGUCCUAUCACCAACAUGCUCAUGCCUUUGUCAUCAGUUGUCUUGAUUAUUAUAACCUCCUCUCUGCUUAACUUCAAAAUGCUGCUUCUAAAUCUUUCCAAAUGCCAUUAAAGUCCUUGUCCUCUCUUGUUCCAACCAUACCACUACUGCCCUUUUUGAUUUUCUAUCUUUUAUUGCAUCAUAUUCAAGCUCCUCGUUCUUACCUUCAGAGUCCUAUGGAAUCUCGCCCCUACCUAAAUUCCUGUCAUAAGUUCAUUCUACUUACUCUCUUGCUCCAUACGCUCGCUCCUUUCUCCUGUUUUCAGCAUGAUGUCUUUUCUCAUGUUGUGUCCACCACACUUAGAACAGUCUCCCACCUCUUUUCUGCUAAUAGCCCUGUCUCUCCUCCUUCUGUCUCUUCUUUAAAGUCCAUUUCUUACAGAAAUCCUUUCUACAUUUAUUUCUUCAUCACUGGUCUCUCCACACCCACCUACCUGUGUUUUGUCUUGUCUGCAUUAGGUCCCAAUCCAAGAGUGAUUUAAAUCAGUGGGAUGUUGCAGGGUGUGUCUGUCUGAGUAGAUCCUUCUGCAAGAUCAGUACCUUAUACUGCAAGCUCUCUAGGGCAUAGAUCAUGUCCCAGUGUGAGUUGUGUACAACAUUCUGUAUAUUUACAGUGCUGGUUUAUAAUUAUAUAAAAUGUAUCAAUACCAUUUUAAGAUGAGUCACUUGUUACUAUUCACAUAGGGCUGGAUCAUGCUCCUUUUGAUGUCCAUGGUAAAAUCACUAGCAGACUUCACUAGGAACGGAAGAUGAAAGCACCAGAUUCAAAGGUAAAUCAAAGGAAAAUGACAAUCCAGAGGACAUGACAUCCCUGACAGCACAUCAGCAGUCUAAAUGUUUGACGGAUCCAGUAAGCCACUUCAAAGGCACCAACAUGAAUGCCCUGUAACCAGCUGCUCCUUUACGGAAAAAUUUCUGAAAAUGCCAUCCAAAGAGGAAAAAAGAAACAGUUGGACCUGUUUGAUUUUGGACCAGAACUAUACUUACCUACAUGCUUCCAGCUUUCAUCCAGACCACAUCACACAAUCCAUUGUCUACAGCCAAGCCCUAAGAUACAACCGCAUUUUCUCCAAUCCCUCAGACAGAGACAAACA